UCGAUGCGCGAUGCGUUGCGUUUCGCGAUUUGCGUGUGCGUCCUCGGACACCUUGGCCAAAACACCAAACAGCGUCAUCAACUUGAACAAAUUAAAAGUACUCCGAUAAAAUCGAAAAAUAAAAGUGUUUCAUUAGCUAAUUGAUUGAAAUAACACCAAUCAAUGAUUGAUAAUUGAAGGGAAAGUUUCAAAGUAACAUUACCAACAUGUGUACCGUUUAAAUUCUCAAUGUGUUUGUAGUUUUAAGCAAAAAACAAUCAAAAAACAGAAAAAACUUUUUUUUGCAAAAAUAUUGCAGUUUUUAAAUAAAUUUAAAUUAAAUUGUAUUAAUAUCGUUAAUUUCUCUUUGUAAAUUAUUUGUUUUUAGAGAAAAAUUUAAAAAUAUUAAAUAUCUUUGGCAAAAA